CAGGAGAUGGUGGAAAGGCCCAAACCGUAAUAGGGUUCCAAUAAGAACAAAAUGCUUUUUGGACCACAGCUGCCUUUGAAGCCUAGUAGCGUUGUGAAGUGACUCACAGCUAUAGGCUGUAGUGAGAAGAUGGUUUGGCAGCUUUCCAUGUACCGGCCACAAAAGACUUCUGAAAUCUUGUUUAUAUGUAAUGUUAAACCAUUUAAAACCAUGUUUAGUCUUCCUUGCAACUGGAAAUUAAAAUGGUGACUUCAAAA